CGUACCCAGUUCGGAGUCAGAGAAGGGAAAAUAAUAAUAACACGCCAGUGUACAGCGCAAUAGCGCUACGGGGGGGAGAGAACGGUCUUGCUGUCGUCCAACGUCUCCAGUCCUCCUGGGUCAGGGUUGAUAGAGGCGGCGGAUACAUGGGAGCCCCUGAUGGAUUUAUUAUCUACACAUUUUAAAAUGUUGCUUUUACUAUAAACACCCCCCCACACAUACAGACACACACACCAUAAAUACAACCGCUACUACCGUCUUCUGAGGGACAACAGAGGGCAUUGUUUUCAGUCCUAGAUAGUAGGACUUUCUAGAGAAGAAAGGUGAGCAUGACGUCCCCUGAACCCCACGAUUAAUUAAAAACAGCAGUAAACACCCCCCACUCGCGCCCCGAGGACUCAACCGGCUCACCGGACGGCUUCCCUAAAUACCUAAACCAGGGUUUCACUGACAUCGUAGUGUGCACCACGGGGAAAGACAGACCGGUAGAAUUUGUUCUUCUUUUUUAUAUAUGUAACAACCAUACAGAUCUAGAGUCGCGCAAAAGAGACUCGGCGACCCUCUGAAGAACAUAUACUGUCACGCCCUGCUCCCGACACUGCUUUUGCCCCAUGACAAGCGAGUAAGCGACGGAAUACUGUAGUUGAAGUUUUCAGAAGAGAGACUGGGAAUUCCCAAGGAAGCGAAGUUAGUGCAGAUACAUGGCGACACAAACCUGGAGGUGCCCACUUCUCAGACAAGAACAAGGACGUUUAAGAAGGUCCUGUGAAGUUCUUUGAUGGGAACACCAGAGAUGGGCGAUGAUUUACUGAUUUAAUUUCAACCACUGUCUUUUUGGGGGAAUUGCAAAGGACACUUCAGGGGCCUUGCUACAAACAAAUGGAUUCAAUUAAAUCUCUCUUCCCUCUUCUAAAUAUCAAUAUGUGAACUCCAGCAGAAAACAAGGCUUUGCGAAUCUCACAAUGACAAACGCUGCUGUAGGAAACACUCCCCACACAUCCAGAAGGUGAAUUUAAGGAAACAAAGAUGUGGCUGAGAGCUGUUUCAAUGUGGCAAUCUGCUUAUAGUGGUACCAUGCCAGUAAUUAGCAUGGUGUGUUCUUUUGGCUACAUGUGCCCUGAACUGUGGUAAAAAUGUAUAAUUAAUAUUGUUGUAGUAUCAUUUCGAGUUCUCGUAGUAAAAUUUACACUACUACACUGCAGCUCUUUUCCCGUAAUAUUUGAUCUUUCUUAAAGAAGCAGAGCUUAAAAAAAAACAGAUGCCAUUUCCUGUGUGUGACAUUUGAAUGGACAAAAUAAACGCUUCAAUGGUAUAAUUAAAAUGAGAAGUGGAUAAUCCAUUCUUUUCCAUCGCCUAUAUCAAAGAAACGGCAGAACACAUACACUUUCAGAGUUCAAUGCAAGGGCUGUAUCACAAAAUGCCACAUCUUUUAGAACUUAAAUAAGUGGUUGAGCUUCUGUUGAGCUGCAGUAUUUGGGAGAAACAAUGGAUUGGAACGUAUUUUUCAUGUCUGUGUGCGUGUGUGUUUUUUUUCCCUAUCGAGUGAAGCCUGAGCCUUAGGAGUGGAGGUGGUGUGUUUGCCGAACACACAGGGCAGUGUUUGGCAAUGAAAGUCUCACCCUAGAAUAGGUCCAGCUCUCCUCCGUGCCCAGCUAAGGAUCGGUACAGGUAACAAAACCUUCCCUUUGCCUUUCUCAGCAUUCCCAUCAUUGUCCCUUCACCUCCUGGAGCAGCUCCUUUUCUCCUUAGGCCUGGCGUGGGACUCCGAUGGUCUCGUCCUCCUGGCCAGACUGUUCCCCCAGCCAACAGGGUUAAACACGCGUCUGCAUCUCACAUCGCUCACAAGCUAAAGUGGCACAAUACUCGCCCUACUAGGGCUGCCAAAAACUCUUGAGCCAAUAAAAGUUUGAAAUAAUGAAAA